AUACUGUAGCAACUUAUUAUCAAUUUCAGCACUUGUACUCAAACACGUAGCUGCUUAUUUAUUAAAUCAACGUCAACACUUAAAAGUGCUUUUUAUCACUUAAUGCUUAUCAACUACUUCAAAUCAUCUAAUCCAAACGGGUUCAUAGACUAGUCCAGACGAGAUCAACGAUGAAAUAGCACGGGCUAGCCAGUUUUCAAUUCAAAAAUAGUC
rnacentral:lncRNA from 1 species